UACGGAGGGGGCUAGCGUUGUUCGGAAUUACUGGGCGUAAAGCGCACGUAGGCGGAUUGUUAAGUCAGGGGUGAAAUCCUGGAGCUCAACUCCAGAACUGCCUUUGAUACUGGCAAUCUUGAGUCCGGAAGAGGUGAGUGGAACUCCUAGUGUAGAGGUGGAAUUCGUAGAUAUUAGGAAGAACACCAGUGGCGAAGGCGGCUCACUGGUCCGGUACUGACGCUGAGGUGCGAAAGCGUGGGGAGCAAACAGG
rnacentral:rRNA from 1 species